rnacentral:rRNA from 1 species
UACGUAGGGUGCAAGCGUUGUCCGGAAUUAUUGGGCGUAAAGAUCUCGUAGGCGGUCUGUCGCGUCGGCUGUGAAAUCCCGAGGCUCAACCUCGGGUCUGCAGUCGAUACGGGCAAACUAGAGUAUUGCAGGGGAGACUGGAAUUCCUGGUGUAGCGGUGAAAUGCGCAGAUAUCAGGAGGAACACCGGUGGCGAAGGCGGGUCUCUGGGCAAUAACUGACGCUGAGGAGCGAAAGCGUGGGGAGCGAACAGG